AACGAACGCUGGCGGCGUGCCUAACACAUGCAAGUCGAACGAGAAAGGGGCUUCGGCUCCGAGUAAAGUGGCGCACGGGUGAGUAACACGUGGGUAACCUGCCUCUAAGACUGGGAUAACCUGUCGAAAGACGAGCUAAUACCGGAUAAGACCACAGUUCCUGAGGGAACAGUGGUCAAAGGUAGCCUCUGCAUGCAAGCUAUCACUUAGAGAUGGGCCUGCGCACCAUUAGCUAGUUGGUAGGGUAACGGCCUACCAAGGCAAAGAUGG
rnacentral:rRNA from 1 species